rnacentral:rRNA from 1 species
CCUACGUGAGGCAGCAGUGAGGAAUAUUGGUCAAUGGGCGCGAGCCUGAACCAGCCAAGUAGCGUGAAGGAUGACUGCCCUACGGGUUGUAAACUUCUUUUAUAAAGGAAUAAAGUGAGGUACGUGUGCCUUUUUGUAUGUACUUUAUGAAUAAGGCUCGGCUAACUCCGUGCCAGCAGCCGCGGUAAUACGGAGGAUCCGAGCGUUAUCCGGAUUUAUUGGGUUUAAAGGGAGCGUAGAGGGGUUGUUAAGUCAGUUGUGAAAGUUUGCGGCUCAACCGUAAAAUUGCAGUUGAUACUGGCAGUCUUGAGUACAGUAGAGGUAUGCGGAAUGCGUGGGGUAGCGGUGAAAUGCUUAGAUAUCACGAAGAACUCCGAUGGCGAAGGCAGCUUACGAAACUGCAACUGACAUUGAUGCACGAAAGUGUGGGUAUCAAACAGGAUUAGAUACCCUGGUAGUC